rnacentral:rRNA from 1 species
UACGUAGGUGGCAAGCGUUAUCCGGAUUUACUGGGUGUAAGGGCGUGUAGGCGGGUCUGUAAGUCAGAUGUGAAAUCUCCGGGCUUAACUCGGAAGGGUCAUCUGAAACUGGAAGACUAGAGUACGGCAGAGGUUAGUGGAAUUCAAUGUGUAGCGGUAAAAAGCGUUGAUAUAUUGAGGAACACCAGUGGCGAAGGCAUCUUACCAGAACGGCUUCGACAGUGAGGGACGAAAGCUGGGGGAGCAAACC